rnacentral:lncRNA from 1 species
CUCACGUUCCUUAGUUUGCAGCCUGAUGGAACUGCACCCCAGCCUCUCUGCCUUUCUUCCCUCUCGCAGCAGCAGCAGACAGGUCCUCUGUAAAAUACCUUCCCUGAAGGGCAAGCCUGGUUACAGCCACCAGGGAACGCAGAGAAGUCAGAGGGGAGGUGGGGACUGGCAGAGGGUGGUGAGGCUGUCGGCUGGGCCUGUGGGGCCUCAGGUGGUACCUGCCCAUCACGAACCAGCCCGGAGUAGUGGGGAGGGGCUUGUCAGCUCGGCCAACCACACCCAGAGGUGACUGGAUCACUCAGCAUUUCCAAGCAACUUUUCCCCUCUAACUUUUCUGGAAAAGGAAACCCUCGCCUUGUCCUCCAUCUAUGAAUCCUCAAACACUAACGCCUAAGGCUGGUGACAAGGGACAGGUGAAGAAGAGGAAGGCUUUGAAUAGGCUUCCUUGGCGGGGAAGAAACGACUUUACUAAGCUAAGAAGACCAAGGACCUUGAACGAUGGUGGGUCCCACAGCCAUUCCACACAGUGGGGUGCUACCUGACACAGUUCCAAAGGAGACACUAGGGAGAGCACAGCAUUAGGGGCUCCCCCAUCAAAGCCCCCGCAAGCUUUGAUUCAGAAGCUGAGAAGCCAAUUCGGGAGGCCAUGUGGAUAUGAAGAGGUCUCGGAAGAGCUGAGAGAACUGGAAGGUAGGUGAGAGUGGGGACAGCCUUUUGUCAAAGGAUCCAACGCCGUUAAAAGUGUCAGGACAGUGUAGUAUUGGCUUAAAAAUAGACAAGCAGAUCAAUGGAAUAGAUCCAGAAAUAAACCCUCACAGAUAGGGACAGAUCGCUCUUCACAAAAGAGCAAACUGUGGUGCCCCGUGGGCCUCCUCCCAGUUAACUAGCAGGAUGCUGAGGUAACCCGAUGCUUCAAUGAGAAAGACUGAAC